UGGGGAUCUGCCCGAUAGAGGGGGAUAACUACUGGAAACGGUGGCUAAUACCGCAUGACGUCUACGGACCAAAGCAGGGGCUCUUCGGACCUUGCGCUAUCGGAUGAACUCAUAUGGGAUUAGCUAGUAGGUGGGGUAAUGGCUCACCUAGGCGACGAUCUCUAGCUGGUCUGAGAGGAUGAUCAGCCACACUGGGACUGAGACACGGCCCAGACUCCUACGGGAGGCAGCAGUGGGGAAUAUUGCACAAUGGGGCGCAAGCCUGAUGCAGCCAUGCCGCGUGUAUGAAGAAGGCCUUAGGGUUGUAAAGUACUUUCAGCGGGGAGGAAGGUGAUAAG
rnacentral:rRNA from 1 species